CAUUGUAAUCAAGAUAAUUAUUUAUACUCAUCACUUCAUUUGACUUGUUUAUAUUUUGAUGUUGAACAUUUAUCAUAAUAGUUUUCAAUGUUCUGACCAUAAAACACAGGUAAAAGUUUAAAAUCACAAUCAGCUGUCUUUUAGAUUUUUUCUUUUUUUAUGUGACUUUCAAAUUGCCUUUUGGGUGGAAAGAAAGAAUAAUUUGAUAUUUAUCUUGAUCAUUAUUAUUUGCUAUGAAAAUAUUAAUGAUGAUAGUGUUUAAAGUUGUAUCACCCAGCCUUAACUCCGGAUUCAUUAAAUUAAAAAACCUCCCAAACAACGUUAAACAGCACCAGUCUGUUCAAUUCUAAAGGUUUUUCACCAGCACCCACGGGCUUCGACUGUGUGGAGCUCCAAAAUGGCCAAUACUACAAUAGUUCACUAAAAACAUUUGAAAAUUAAAACAGAAAUAAUACGUUUUCAAAAAACAUAUAACUUAAUCGCACAGUAUGUUUUGUAUUGCUACGAAUCCCUCAAUCAGAACCAUUGGAAUAGACCACUUCCUUUAUUACCUUUCACAAUAAAACUCCAAACAUAUCCACUGUGUAACUGAACCUAGAACUCAUAGAUAAAUAAUUCUAUUAGGAAUGAAACUAACAAUGACUUUGACUCUUAGUUUCUCUCUUCACUGAUUGUUUGGUCAGAAAAUAGUGAAAAAGGUUUUCCUCCAAACUCAAGAUAAUGGAUUUAACAGUCUUAUUUGAUCUAUACUUUGUCAUCUCACGUUACAGAACAAACCAGAAAAUAAUACACAUUUAAGAAGCUGGAAUCUGAGGUUUUUAGAUUUUUUUUUUUUUUUUUAACUUGAAAAAUUACUCAAACCAAAUAUCGUUCAUCAAUAUAGUCGAUGACCUUAGUCGUCGUCUAAUGUGGUCGACUCCUAAAUAACAGUUUCAUUCACAUCCUGUUGUACUGUGAUACCGUCAGUUCAUUCUACUAUUAAGUUAGUAAACAAAAUGACACGGAUCGCAGACGACCAAAUGAACAGAAAUAACUGACAGAACAUCUUUGGAAACAUUUGAUAUCACGUAUGUGUACGAGUCAAUAUAGACUUAGUUGUUUUUAGAUGUUAAAUGCAUAAAUACUGGAAGUUUAAAUACCUUCAUAUUAAAUUGCAUACUUAGACUUGAAUCAUAUAAUG